rnacentral:tRNA from 1 species
UUUCACCGCGGGGCUUGAACCCACGUCCACAAGGUUAAGAGCCUUAUACUUUACCAACUGAGCAAUGGA